rnacentral:rRNA from 1 species
CAACUCGACUACAUGAAGCUGGAAUCGCUAGUAAUCGCAGAUCAGAAUGCUGCGGUGAAUACGUUCCCGGGUCUUGUACACACCGCCCGUCACACCAUGGGAGUCGGAAAUGCCCGAAGCCGGUGACCAGACCAAUAAGGAAGGAGCCGUCGAAGGCAGGUCUGAUAACUGGGGUGAAGUCGUAACAAGGUAUC